rnacentral:lncRNA from 1 species
AAGAACUUAAAAAGAUUUAUUAAUCCAUCCUCUUAUAGUUAAAAGAAGACAAAUUGUCAAUAUAUAAAUUAUAUUUUUUAUACAGUAUAUAUAAAUUAUACAUUUAAAACUAUAUAAUAUGAACUUGAAUGACAAAAGAAAAAAUAUGAAAAAAUGUAUGUAAAGAUCUAUAACAAACAAUAACAUUAAUUAACCAUAUGAGAGG